rnacentral:rRNA from 1 species
GUCGAGCGAAGCACUUCGUUUUGAAUCUUCGGAGGAAGAACGGACUGUCUGAGCGGCGGACGGGUGAGUAACGCGUGGGCAACCUGCCUCAUACAGGGGGAUAACAGUUAGAAAUGACUGCUAAUACCGCAUAAGACCGCGGUACCGCAUGGUACAGCGGUAAAAACUCCGGUGGUAUGAGAUGGGCCCGCGUCUGAUUAGCUAGUUGGCGGGGUAACGGCCCACCAAGGCGACGAUCAGUAGCCGACCUGAGAGGGUGACCGGCCACAUUGGGACUGAGACACGGCCCAAACUCCUACGGGAGGCAGCAGUGGGGAAUAUUGCACAAUGGGGGAAACCCUGAUGCAGCGACGCCGCGUGAGCGAUGAAGUAUUUCGGUAUGUAAAGCUCUAUCAGCAGGGAAGAAGAUGACGGUACCUGACUAAGAAGCCCCGGCUAACUACGUGCCAGCAGCCGCGGUAAUACGUAGGGGGCAAGCGUUAUCCGGAUUUACUGGGUGUAAAGGGAGCGUAGACGGCGGUGCAAGCCAGAUGUGAAAGCCCGGGGCUCAACCCCGGGACUGCAUUUGGAACUGUAUGGCUGGAGUGUCGGAGAGGCAGGCGGAAUUCCUAGUGUAGCGGUGAAAUGCGUAGAUAUUAGGAGGAACACCAGUGGCGAAGGCGGCCUGCUGGACGAUGACUGACGUUGAGGCUCGAAAGCGUGGGGAGCAAACAGGAUUAGAUACCCUGGUAGUCCACGCCGUAAACGAUGACUACUAGGUGUCGGGCAGCAAAGC